AACCAGGUGGAGGAGGUUCUUUGUUCCGAAAGCUUCCACCCGGUUUUCAAUUUGCCACGGUCAAGAUGGUGGCAGCUCCCCUCCUUCGGAAGAAGACACGAUCUUUCUACAUUUCCCACGGACAGCGGCGGUAGCCUCCCUCCUCCGGAAGGAGAUGUGAUUUUAUCCUAUUUCCCACAGACAGAGUAGUGGUAACGUUCCUCCUUAGGAGGGUGAUGUGACUUUUCUGUAUUUCCCACAGACGGAGCGUUGGCAGCCUCCCUCCCCUGAAGGGAGACACGACUUUUCCGUAUUUCCACUCUAGGCCCGCAACCUUCCGUUCCUUCCCGGCCCGGCCUUUAACACCGGAGAAGAGCAACGGGGCGGAUUUAACUUUUCCCACCUAAAUCCCGGCUCUAGGUCGUCGCCGUGAGUCAGCGGUCCGCACGUCCGCACGUCGUAUCCGUGAAAACGAAGCUGGGUCGGAGGUCCGAUUACGUAGGUGCCGCUUGGGACCGCCGGUUCACGUUUCAAGGGCCAAAUCGCGAAAAUGAUCCUCAAAGUUGAUCUGCCUUUCGUGAGCGCUUUCGUGUUCGAGGGGAAGGAAACGCAAGGGCCCGGGACGGACGAUAGAAAACCUUUUAAUGACACAACCGCGAUGCUCGGAAACCGACGAGACGAGCCUUUAACAGACACGCCGUCUGUCUUUUCGCUACUGCAGAACCACACGCCGCCCUAUACAAAGACUGCCGCGCCCGGCGAGACGCCGACACGGUUCGGUGGAAGCCGAUUUUUUCGUCUGCCCGUGGCAACGUAAUACAGUCGCUUUCCUCGA